GAAUGCUGAAUUCACUAGAACUCUACAGUCUAUUACAGACAAUCCAUCCAGCUGGAGAAGCAUUUCAUAUACAGAAUUAAGGCUUUGGCUGUAGAAGCAAGAGGGGACCCUCCUCCAGAUGGAGACUUGACAGAUUUGGGACACUGCAGAAGAUGCAGAAAAUCUUCAGGAAGGUGUAUGUUGUGCUCCACACAAGGACUUCCAAUAUGCUUGGCACUAUGAGAAUUCCCCUUCACCUAUUCCUAUUAAAAAAUGAAAAUGAGCUAAUAAAACCGAGCCUGAGGAAAGCUUGCAGUGAGAGAGGAGACAAAAGUUCGUGUGGAUCCAGCUCAUCCCAGCCCUCAUUUUUGUUUGCCUCUUGUGGUUAUAUAACACAUACAGAUUCAAGCGUGCUUUAGCAUCCAAAUGGUAGUAUCACCCCAAAACUGGCAACAAAAAGAUAGUUGGCAUGGCUUGCUGGGUCGCAGGAAGUGUGGGGGAAUAAAGGAUGUUAAGAAAGCUAAGUGUGAAAAGUUUCAAGAUGAUGGCUUUGAGAACUCCCUAGGGAGAGGCUGGCCUAUAAAGCAGCAUGGAGGCGGAGGACUACAAUGCAGAAUACUGAAGAAUCCAGCUGUUCAUGAUUACAACAAAUGUAAAGAAAUAUUUUUUGCUUAAUAAACAUAAUGGGCCAGAUUCUCUGUUGGGCCCAGAUUGUGCUGACACAGAAGAGACGGGACACCAAGGGUCCUGCUGGCCUUCCUGAUUCUCUGCCCAAUAGGGUGACCAGACAGCAAGUGUGAAAAAUCAGGGCAGGGGAUGGGGGAUAAUAGGAGCCUAUAUAAAAGAAAGCCCUUAAUAUCGGGACUGUCCCUAUAAAAUCAGGACACCUGGUCGCCCUACUGCCCAACCGUGGCCUUGGGUUCA